rnacentral:tRNA from 2 species
AGGGGUGUGGCUCAAUGGUAGAGUAGCGGUCUCCAAAACCGUAGGUUGUGGGUUCGAGUCCUACCACCCCUGCCA